CGCCCUUAUGGUUUGAUCCUGGCUCAGGAUGAACGCUAGCGGCAGGCUUAACACAUGCAAGUCGAGGGGUAACGAUAGUGCUUGCACUAGGCGACGACCGGCGCACGGGUGAGUAUCGCGUUUGUAACCUACCCUUAACUGGAGAAUAGCCCAAAGAAAUUUGGAUUAAUACUCCAUAAUAUAUAAUCAAGGCAUCUUGAUUAUAUUAAAGUUCCGACGGUUAAGGAUGGGCAUGCGUGACAUUAGUUAGUUGGUAAGGUAACGGCUUACCAAGGCUACGAUGUCUAGGGGGUCUGAGAGGAUGAUCCCCCACACUGGUACUGAGACACGGACCAGACUCCUACGGGAGGCAGCAGUGAGGAAUAUUGGUCAAUGGGCGAAAGCCUGAACCAGCCAUGCCGCGUGCAGGAUGACGGCCCUACGGGUUGUAAACUGCUUUUAUUCAGGAAGAAACCCUCCAACGUGUUGGAGGCUGACCGUACUGAACGAAUAAGGAUCGGCUAACUCCGUGCCAGCAGCCGCGGUAAUACGGAGGAUCCAAGCGUUAUCCGGAUUUAUUAGGUUUAAAGGGUGUGCAGGCGGGAUAAUAAGUCAGUGGUGAAAUCCUACAGCUCAACUGUAGAACUGCCAUUGAAACUGUUAUUCUUGAGUACAAUUGAGGUAGGCGGAACGUGUCAUGUAGCGGUGAAAUGCAUAGAGAUGACACAGAACACCGAUUGCGAAGGCAGCUUACUAAAUUGUUACUGACGCUGAGACACGAAAGCGUGGGGAGCGAACAGGAUUAGAUACCCUGGUAGUCCACGCCGUAAACGAUGAUUACUCGUUGUUGGCAAUACACCGUCAGCGUCCAAGCGAAAGCGUUAAGUAAUCCACCUGGGGAGUACGCUCGCAAGAGUGAAACUCAAAGGAAUUGACGGGGGCCCGCACAAGCGGAGGAACAUGUGGUUUAAUUCGAUAAUACGCGAGGAACCUUACCUGGGCUCAAACGUAGAAUGACAGUACCCGAAAGGGUAUUUCUCUUCGGAGCAAAUUACAAGGUGCUGCAUGGUUGUCGUCAGCUCGUGCCGUGAGGUGUCGGGUUAAGUCCCAUAACGAGCGCAACCCCUAUCAUUAGUUGCCAUCGGGUCAUGCCGGGGACUCUAAUGAGACUGCCAGUGUAAACUGUGAGGAAGGUGGGGAUGACGUCAAAUCAGCACGGCCCUUAUGUCCAGGGCUACACACGUGUUACAAUGGUCGAUACAAAGGGCAGCUACCUGGUGACAGGAUGCUAAUCUCAAAAGUCGAUCUCAGUUCGGAUCGAAGUCUGCAACUCGACUUCGUGAAGUUGGAUUCGCUAGUAAUCGUAUAUCAGCAAUGGUACGGUGAAUACGUUCCCGGGCCUUGUACACACCGCCCGUCAAGCCAUGGAAGUUGGGAGUGCCUGAAGUCGGUGACCGCAAGGAGCUGCCUAAGGUAAAACUAGUAACUAGGGCUAAGUAGUAACAAGGUAGCCG
rnacentral:rRNA from 1 species